UCUGUAACACAGGGGCCCCACAGGGGACGGUGUCAGCACCGUUCCUCUUCACCCUCUACGCUGCAGACUUCAUGUACAACUCCCCACCUGCCGCCUACAGAAGUUUUCUGAUGACUCAGCGAUCGUCGGCCGCACCACAAAUGAGGACAACGGAGAGUACAGAGAACUGAUUCAGGACUUUGUGGACUGCUGUCUGCGGAAUCACCUACACUGGGCAGUUCCUUCAGUGACCGGCCAAGUGUGUGAAGGAGUGCUAUCGCAGGUCCUUCCUUCCUGCUGCUGUGAGACUAUUCAACCAGCACUGCUCCCAGUAGACCACACACACACACACACAAUAUACACACAUACAAUAUACACACACACACACAUAGUAUGUGUGUAUAUUGUAAGAACUUUGGUUCCACCCACCACUUGCCUCUGACUGUUCUGGACACACAUAAUCCCAGUCUAGCAACUCAUGAGGAACAGAAAGGGAAAAUUACAAAGAGGUUCAGCGGCAUGAAGCUCUUCUGCGUCAUUGAGCUGCUUCUGGCUGCCUAUUUUGGGUGAUGGACCACUCUUAUCCUAGGAAUGUUCUACGGCUGGUCCAGCACCACAGAACCAGCCCACCCGAUUCACCCAAACAGUGUCAUAUUUGAGUUAAAACACAUUUAACACACUCGUGUCCAGAACUGUGCAGCAGCAGAUGCGCUACAGUCUAUAACUGUAACGUUAGUGGACCUCAAAAGGUGGACGGAGCUCAUGAAGUGGACAGAGAGGGAAAUACAAAAUAAAAGUCUCUAAUAAAGUGGACGGUCGGUGUAUGGAAAGAAUAGAGCAGCAGAACGGAGAGCGCCUUUGCUCGAGAACCGUCCACUGAUCUCUAUCUGAGGGGAUACGUCUGCGCGUCCGCCAUGUUGGCGCGGUCAAGAUCUGCUUGUGAACAGAUUCAUUUGUAUUGAGAGACGAAGAGUCUUGGGAUUGAAUCAGCCACAACUUCCUUUAAUCUCACAUACUUUAUUCCACUCUAAUGUGGAACCAAAAUUGCUCAAGGGGCCUUUUUAAACUUCCAUAAAAAAAUCUGUGCACUCAUACUGUCUUUCUGUGUUUAAAGGGGAAGUUAGGAUGUAAACAGAGGCGUUCAGAACGGAAAGGUUUGGUGUAAAGUGCUCUGUUCUUGAGAAACAGUCAGAAUGAUUCAGAACGGUGGUGAUAGGAACCAGACGUCUAAGGAUUAGGCUGCUUUUACACAUGCCACUUUAACUGCUUGAAACUUAAGUGAAACUAUCCUGCAACUUACUUGAAACUCAGCCACAACAUUGAGUCUCAACUUCAGGAGACAGCCCAUCAGAAUGUUGAUAAUGCAUCGUGUGAUCAUGUCAAACAACAUUGUUUCAAAUGAUGGAUUCCACUGAGUCAACAAAAAUGCUUGGAUGACCAUUUAUAUCCAGGAAUGGAGGUUAAAGUUUCCUGGACAGGCAAGCAAAACCUGGACAAUCCAGGGAAAUCCUGAUCAGGUAGUAACCCAACUUAAAGCUACACAUAUAUUGUUAGGGUUAAGAUAUCCACCUGAUAAUGGCUAGUGUGAGUAUACAUAGGAAAAAUAGUCAAACAUGGAUAUUAACUGUACACUGUAGGUACAUUAAGCUGAUUUCCAGGUGUCAGAAGAUGUUCUCAUUUGGCCUGCUGCUGGUGUCAGCUAACUAACUAGCUACAGAUGUUCUUCACAGACUCGUUAGCUACAAUUGAGAUGGGUGACCAACUAAUUGGUUAUUUGAAGGAAAUUGAGUAUAAUGUAUUUAGGUAUUGUCGGGACCAAAGAGCUCCCCUUCCUUCGCUCCGAAGUUCCCUAAGAUGUGGAAAAACAUUAGUAAUUAAUUAAAGUUAAAUCAAAGUUUUGGUUUUAAUUUAAUCUGUUCUCUCAGAUGAAAAACCAAACUUCAGCCACAGGUUCGGCUCGAAGGAAGAAAAGCCACCUUUAUUAGUUCCAAUGUGACUAAAUGAUGCCCGAAAGCCAAAAUGUGCAAACAAUACAAACACAUUACAUCUUAUACCCAAAGAUGAGCAACCAUAUCACCCCUCCCGGGUGUGAGAUCAUCGCUCCACCUAUAGUGGAGCCACCUUCUAGUUUUCUUAGGAAGCCUUAUUUCUCACCCAACUCAAGAUGUUUUUAAUGAUGUUCUCUGCCUUGUUUUAUCAGGCCUCCCUGUCCUCCCUGUGUCCGUUGUUUGUAACACUUUCCUAUCAAUUUAGUUCAAAGACCAGUUCUUACCAACCCUUAUCAGCUAGCCUUCCCAUUCCCAGCUAACUUCUACUGUAAAGGCAGUUUCUCACUCUUUGUGACCUUCGAUUUGUUUUUCCUACCACAAAGGCUCCUUUCAUUACACUGCCCUGCUUUGUGUCUGGAAUAGAGUUCACGUUUUCCCAAAUAUGGAAAUAUCGGUCCUGCUUUUCCUGGUCCCUGUCUGCCCGUCUCAUUUAAUGCUUAUAGGCCUGUCUGUCUCAGUUUAGUCUUUAUAACGUGUCUUUAAUCAUUUCUAAGUUAAUGAUUAUUAUAAAACUUUUAUUAAAAGGUGAUUUAAGGACAUAUUUCUUCAAAAACCCUGACAAUAUGUUUUAUUAUAUCUAGUUAACUAACGUUAACUAAAUUUGCAUCAGUUAUUGUGUUCUGUUGUGAAUUCUAGUCACCUCUGUUAGCUCUGCUGUGGGGAAUGGCCAAAACAACGCCUGAUAACUGUAGGUCUUAAUCCAGAAAGUGUCUCACAACAUGAUGCUUACCUCCUUUUAUCAAUGUUCGUUUGAAUAUCUUAUAAUAAAUAAACAAAAUAUAAACCCUGAGGUCA